rnacentral:lncRNA from 1 species
AGGGCUGGGAGUGCCCCAGGAUGGAUCUGAGGAGGAGGAAUGGCCCACCCUGGAAAAGGCAGCCAAAAUGACCGGAGUGGACCACCAAGCAGAGGUGGUUGUGGACCCUGAAGAUGAAUGGGCCGUUGAAAUAUUUAUGAAUAAGAACCCUCCUAUGAGGAAAGGCUGCCCAGCCCAGAAGCCCUGCACACUUGCCAGUCUACCAGCCCAGAACCUGCGGAAGCGACCCGGCUCUCAGCGCCACAGCGGACUUUGGUAUCUCCACCCACACAUACAUGGAGACACUACGUGUGUGUUCGCAGCCUCGAUCCAAGUCAGCACUUCCUGCUCACAAGGAUAGUCAGCACCCUGAGAGUGGACAAUCCCUGCUCUUCAAGCGCUCUGUAGGCCCUAGCCUGAGGACAACUGUGGGGCUGUUCAUCUGAAUUUGGGAUUUGAGCCUUUUGUCACAGUCAUGGUCACGUUCUUGUGCUCACUUCCUUUGCUUUUUUUCAUGCAAAACUGUUU